CUGGAAGUGAUGCAAACCAACAUCUGACUUACAGUGAAGGUGUUUGUAUUCAUACUGUCUGAUCCAG